AUGGCUUUCCUUGAAGCUUUAGCUCUCGCUUCAGAUCUUAAUCUGACGAAGGUUCAGGUGGUAACCGAUUGUGUGGCCACGGUGCACCAUAUGAAGAGACUUUAUUUGGGUGAAAGCUCCAGAAUUAUUGAUGAUAUCAAGGAAAAGAUGAAAGAUUUUGAAAUCUGUCUCUUCGAUCAUGAGAGAAGAGAGAAGAACUGGGAGUCUCAUAGUUUGGCUAGAGCAUCUGUUACUUUUAAUCUUGAGCGCCACUUGUGGCUUAUGAGCCCUCCAGAGUUCGUUUGUAUUGAACCUUUGAUAGAGCUUGAAUAA
rnacentral:rRNA from 1 species